CACUUCUGUGACAUCAGAAAGGGGAGGAGCAGAAGCUGUUCUCCCAGGGCAGUGACAGAUAGAUGUGUGAGCCGACAGGAGACAUGAGCUUCACAGUGCUUCUGGAUGAGUUCCUGCAGGUUACCUUCUUUGGUCCUCUAGACAAUUGAGAUGGCUAGUGGUGGCUGCUUGAAAUUAUUUGUUUGGUGCUGCUAGCUUAUACAGCUGGGAGCUGUGAGAGGGGUGGAGGAAGAGAUUAUUGCCUGAUGAUGAACUUUGAGAGACUGCUUUUGAGUUUUCUUACUUUAUUGCUGUGUUACAAACUGUCAGAUACUACCCGUUGUGUUACAAAGUUAACAAUGAAAAUGUUAUUGUCUGGUCUAUUCAAUUCACCUACUAAUAGAAUAAAAAUUAUUGCAGACAAC
rnacentral:lncRNA from 1 species